rnacentral:rRNA from 1 species
AUUGAACGCUGGCGGCAGGCCUAACACAUGCAAGUCGAGCGGUAGCAGGCCUUCUGCUCCUGGCUUCAGCGGCAGAGGGGUGUAUAACGCCUAAGAGUCUGCCUGGGAGGGGGGGAACGCGUCGGAAGAUGUGCUCUUACCCCGCAUACGCCCAGGGUGAGAGCGGGGGGGAUCUUCGGACUUCAUGCCCUCGCACGAGUCUAGGUCGGAUUAGCUAGUUGGUGGGGUAAAGGCCUACCAAGGUGACGAUCCGUAACUGGUCUGAGAGGAUGAGCAGCCACACUGGAACUGAGACACGGCCCAGACUCCUACGGGAGGCAGCAGUGGGGAAUUUUGGACAAUGGGCGAAAGCCUGAUCCAGCAAUGCCGCGUGUGUGAAGAAGGUCUUCGGAUUGUAAAGCGCUUUAAGUUGGAAGGAAGGGCAGUAAGUUAAUACCUUGCUGUUUUGACGGUACCAACAGAAUAAGCACCGGCUAACUACGUG